UACGAAGGGGGCUAGCGUUGUUCGGAAUUACUGGGCGUAAAGCGCACGUAGGCGGCUUUGUAAGUUAGAGGUGAAAGCCCGGGGCUCAACUCCGGAAUUGCCUUUAAGACUGCAUCGCUAGAAUUGUGGAGAGGUAAGUGGAAUUCCGAGUGUAGAGGUGAAAUUCGUAGAUAUUCGGAAGAACACCAGUGGCGAAGGCGGCGACCUGGUCCUUGACUGACGCUGAGGCGCGAAAGCGUGGGGAGCAAACAGG
rnacentral:rRNA from 1 species